rnacentral:lncRNA from 1 species
AUGAAGGGGCAGGUCUGUUAUCUCCUGCAUCAUCAUCAGAGGGGUUACAGGAGGCAGGUCUGUUAUCUCCUGCAUCAUCAUCAGAGGGGUUACAGGAGGCAGGUCUGUUAUCUCCUUCUGCAAUCAUCAUCAGAGGGGUUAACAGGAGGCAGGCUGUUACUCCUGCAUCACCAUCAGAGGCUUACAGGAGGCAGGUCUGUUAUCUCCUGCAUCAACCAUCAGAGGGUUAAAGGAGGCAGGUCGUUUAUCUCCUGCAUCACAUCAGAGGGGUUACAGGAGGCAGUCUGUUAUCCCUGCAUCACCAUCAGAGGGUUACAGGAGGCAGGUCGUUAUCCUGCAUCACAUCAGAGGGCUUACAGGAGGCAGGUCUGUUACUCCUGCAUCACCAUCAGAAGCUUACAGGAGGCAGGUCUGUUAUCUCCUGCAUCACCAUCAGAGGGGUUACAGGAGCAGGUCUGUACAACGAUUAUGUGUGGUGGUUUGUGUUGUGUGGGUAUGUGUGUAUGUAUAAUAUAGUGUGUGUGUGCUUGUAUAGUGUGUGGUAGGUGUGUAUGUAUAUAGUGUGUGGGUGUGUGUGGUAUGUGUUAUGUAUAUAUAGUGUGUCUGUGUGGGUGGGGUAUGUGUGUGUGUGUGUGGUUUGUGUAUAUGUACUGUAUAUAUAUAUAUAGUGUGUGUGUGUGUGCUUGUAUUGUGUGUGGUGUCUUUAUGGUGUCUUUUUACUGUAGUAUCACAGGUGCCAUAAACAGGUGGAGUGGAGGACAGAGUAUUUAGUCAGCCACCAAUUGUGCAAGUUCUCCCACUUAAAAAGAUGGAGAGGCCUGUAAUUUUCAUCAUAGGUACACUUCAACUAUGA